CCCCACCUUGCUCGUCCGACCCCACGAUUAACAGAAAAAGAAGAGGAAAAAAACUUGCAUAUUCUGAGCGCAACUGUGCGCGCACUUUUCUAUUUGCUGCUUGCAGACGACAUGGGAAAGUUGGCUCUCUCCCUCUCCCCCAUCCCUCCCUCUUGUCUGUCAUGUGCGUGGAACAUGCUGGUGCUCUGCACAGAGCAGCUGUAGCACGCCUAAUGCAGGCUUGCACGUUGGCAGCGGCAAUUUUAAAGCCCCCCCUGCACCGAACCCGGUUGGGACAUUUUUUUAAGGGGAACUUAUACUCACCGCAUCACCAUGUCCAUGGACCUCAAACUUUUCUUUUUCCCCGCUGAUUGGGACGCUUUCUGCAGACUCCUAGUGGUGUUUGACUCGCCCUUUGAAUGAAUGGAGGAGGAGAGCAGCAAAGACCAGCAGGAACUACAGGUCAUCAAAAGAUUGCUGGAAUGUAGCCCUCCAAUGGAAAAAAAUGAGAUACACAGAUUGUCUCUGGGUCCCUGCAGCCAUGGAAAUGGAAAGUGCUGAGUUUCAAGGUCGUUCAGAGUAUUCUGCACCCUGGGGCGCUCCAUUGUCAGUGCACCACGUCCUUCAGCUCGCACAUGCUCUCCAGUUGACAUACAAGACAUCAUGGGUUGAAUGAAGCCCAUGACCCGUAUCUCCACACAUGACAGGAGCCUCCACACUGAAGACGUCAUCGUUUGCCUAUAUUCAAGUUUCCAGAUGAUGACACAUAAAGAAGAUUGAGAUGAGAAUUUCAUCAAGGCAAACUUCCAGAUCUAAUUUUGCUCUGGCCGCUUCUGCAGUACUACUACAGCUACUUCUGUAUUUCUGUAAAUGCAAUGUAUCAAAGGGCUGUUAAACGAGCUGAAAAUAGUACCGUACCUUCAACUCUUAGAGAAUCUGAUCACUGUGCUUUUUUGUGGUUAUAUUUAUCAGAUUCAACAUUUUACAUAAAAUUACCUCUCAAAAAUAAAAACAGAUAUAAAAUAAAACUGCUUCGUGCUUUAACUGUUGAUGUAGAAUGAUUGGGUUCUUUUGGUGUGUUUUUAACAGCUGAAUAAAGCUGUUUUUUUCUUGUAAA